UUGAGGGGGAGAAUCUGAAUCUUUAAGUAAGCAAACUCAUUAAAUCUAUAUAAGCCAAACAAUUGAUUGCAUGACAUGAAGGCUUAUAUAAUUCCAAAUGAAAGGAGGAGCUUUAACUUCAAAAUUUACUGUUUCACACCUUUCAGUUUUGGAUAAAUUAAAAUAACUAGACAUUUGAAUUCAUUUUAAAAUUUUACUAUAAAUCUCCUUGUUUGUUGAGCAAUUCAAUUUACAUAUACUCAAUGUUUUGUC
rnacentral:lncRNA from 1 species